CUUCUGUUCUCGCUGCAGUCAACAAGCUCUCUCUUCCGAAAUGGUUUCUCGCGUCGUGUUCGCCUGCUUGGUCGUAAUUCUGCUGGCUGCCUGCGCCUUGGCCUUCCCUGACCCAAGCGGAGGAUAUGGAUACGGACACAUCGGGCACGGACACAUCGGGCACGGAUACGGACAUGGGUAUGGCGGCCACCGUGUGAUUUUAACCCAUGGCGGUUAUGGCGGUGGAUACGGAUACAGGCCGGCGUACUGGUGAACGGCGACAUGUUAGAUGCUGCCCAUGGAUUCUGCCUCCAUUAACACGCUGGGUAAUGAGAUUUUAGCAAAAUAAUAAAACGAGGGUCAGACAGCCAGCUCUUCCUCUUGUUUAUAUGUUUUUUUCCGGUUUGUCUAACCGGUCUCUAUCUUGAUUACAAUAAGGAAUCAUUUUCUUUCAA